GCGGUACCGGUUCACGCCGCGGCGGCAUCGUCCGCCCGGCGACCCGGCGACC
ncrna:unclassified sequences L31-Actinobacteria ribosomal protein leader